rnacentral:tRNA from 1 species
UCCCUCAUGGCUUAGCUGGUAAAGAAUCCACCUGCAAUGCGGGAGACCCAGGUUUGAUCCCUGGGUGGGGAA